rnacentral:rRNA from 1 species
UACGGAGGAUGCAAGCGUUAUCCGGAAUGAUUGGGCGUAAAGCGUCCGCAGGUGGCUGUGUAAGUCUGCCGUCAAAGAGCAAAGCUCAACUUUGUAAAGGCAGUGGAAACUACACGGCUAGAGUGCGUUCGGGGCAGAGGGAAUUCCUGGUGUAGCGGUGAAAUGCGUAGAGAUCAGGAAGAACACCGGUGGCGAAGGCGCUCUGCUAGGCCGCAACUGACACUGAGGGACGAAAGCUAGGGGAGCGAAUGGG